AACACAUGCAAGUCGAACGGUAACAGGAAGCAGCUUGCUGCUUUGCUGACGAGUGGCGGACGGGUGAGUAAUGUCUGGGAAACUGCCUGAUGGAGGGGGAUAACUACUGGAAACGGUAGCUAAUACCGCAUAACGUCGCAAGACCAAAGAGGGGGACCUUCGGGCCUCUUGCCAUCGGAUGUGCCCAGAUGGGAUUAGCUAGUAGGUGGGGUAACGGCUCACCUAGGCGACGAUCCCUAGCUGGUCUGAGAGGAUGACCAGCCACACUGGAACUGAGACACGGUCCAGACUCCUACGGGAGGCAGCAGUGGGGAAUAUUGCACAAUGGGCGCAAGCCUGAUGCAGCCAUGCCGCGUGUAUGAAGAAGGCCUUCGGGUUGUAAAGUACUUUCAGCGGGGAGGAAGGCGAUAAGGUUAAUAACCUUGUCGAUUGACGUUACCCGCAGAAGAAGCACCGGCUAACUCCGUGCCAGCAGCCGCGGUAAUACGGAGGGUGCAAGCGUUAAUCGGAAUUACUGGGCGUAAAGCGCACGCAGGCGGUCUGUCAAGUCGGAUGUGAAAUCCCCGGGCUCAACCUGGGAACUGCAUUCGAAACUGGCAGGCUAGAGUCUUGUAGAGGGGGGUAGAAUUCCAGGUGUAGCGGUGAAAUGCGUAGAGAUCUGGAGGAAUACCGGUGGCGAAGGCGGCCCCCUGGACAAAGACUGACGCUCAGGUGCGAAAGCGUGGGGAGCAAACAGGAUUAGAUACCCUGGUAGUCCACGCCGUAAACGAUGUCGACUUGGAGGUUGUGCCCUUGAGGCGUGGCUUCCGGAGCUAACGCGUUAAGUCGACCGCCUGGGGAGUACGGCCGCAAGGUUAAAACUCAAAUGAAUUGACGGGGGCCCGCACAAGCGGUGGAGCAUGUGGUUUAAUUCGAUGCAACGCGAAGAACCUUACCUACUCUUGACAUCCAGAGAACUUUCCAGAGAUGGAUUGGUGCCUUCGGGAACUCUGAGACAGGUGCUGCAUGGCUGUCGUCAGCUCGUGUUGUGAAAUGUUGGGUUAAGUCCCGCAACGAGCGCAACCCUUAUCCUUUGUUGCCAGCGGUUAGGCCGGGAACUCAAAGGAGACUGCCAGUGAUAAACUGGAGGAAGGUGGGGAUGACGUCAAGUCAUCAUGGCCCUUACGAGUAGGGCUACACACGUGCUACAAUGGCGCAUACAAAGAGAAGCGACCUCGCGAGAGCAAGCGGACCUCAUAAAGUGCGUCGUAGUCCGGAUUGGAGUCUGCAACUCGACUCCAUGAAGUCGGAAUCGCUAGUAAUCGUGGAUCAGAAUGCCACGGUGAAUACGUUCCCGGGCCUUGUACACACCGCCCGUCACACCAUGGGAGUGGGUUGCAAAAGAAGUAGGUAGCUUAACCUUCGGGAGGGCGCUUACCACUUUGUGAUUCAUGACUGGGGUGAAGUCGUAACAAGGUAACCGUAGGGGAACCUGCGGUUGGAUCACCUCCUUACCUUAAAGAA
rnacentral:rRNA from 1 species